GGGCCCGCACAAGCGGUGGAGCAUGUGGUUUAAUUCGAUGAUACGCGAGGAACCUUACCAGGGCUUAAAUGUAGUGGGACAGGUCUAGAGAUAGACCCUUCUUCGGACUCAUUACAAGGUGCUGCAUGGUUGUCGUCAGCUCGUGCCGUGAGGUGUCAGGUUAAGUCCUAUAACGAGCGCAACCCUACUCGUUAGUUGCCAGCGGGUAAUGCCGGGAACUCUAGCGAAACUGCCGGUGCAAACCGUGAGGAAGGUGGGGAUGACGUCAAAUCAUCACGGCCCUUACGUCCUGGCUACACACGUGCUACAAUGGCCGAGACAAAGAGCAGCAAGUUUGCAAAGACAAGCC
rnacentral:rRNA from 1 species